rnacentral:rRNA from 1 species
AACGAACGCUGGCGGCAUGCCUAACACAUGCAAGUCGAACGAGACCUUCGGGUCUAGUGGCGCACGGGUGCGUAACGCGUGGGAACCUGCCCUUAGGUUCGGAAUAACUCCCCGAAAGGGGUGCUAAUACCGGAUAAUGUCUUCGGACCAAAGAUUUAUCGCCUUUGGAUGGGCCCGCGUUGGAUUAGCUAGUUGGUAGGGUAAAAGCCUACCAAGGCGACGAUCCAUAGCUGGUCUGAGAGGAUGAGCAGCCACACUGGGACUGAGACACGGCCCAGACUCCUACGGGAGGCAGCAGUGAGGAAUAUUGGACAAUGGGCGAAAGCCUGAUCCAGCAAUGCCGCGUGAGUGAUGAAGGCCUUAGGGUUGUAAAGCUCUUUUACCCGGGAUGAUAAUGACAGUACCGGGAGAAUAAGCUCCGGCUAACUCCGUG